AUAUUAAACAGUGGUAGGGUUAGGCCAGACUGCUGGGUGGAGGUGAAUCCAUAUUAAACAGUGGUAGGGUUCAGCCAGACUGCUGGGUGGAGGUGAAUCCAUAUUAAACAGCGGUAGGGUUCAGCCAGACUGCUGGGUGGAGGUGGAGGUGAAUCCAUAUUAAACAGCGGUAGGGUUCAGCCAGACUGCUGGGUGGAGGUGGAGGUGAAUCCAUAUUAAACAGUGGUAGGGUUAGGCCAGACUGCUGGGUGGAAGUUGAGGUGAAUCCAUAUUAAACAGUGGUAGGGUUCAGCCAGACUGCUGGGUGGAGGUGAAUCCAUAUUAAACAG
rnacentral:lncRNA from 13 species